UAUUUUUGCGUUGCGUCCCUUUGUUCCUAAGAGAUCGGCCAGUGUGUGUUUUAUCAUCCCUUGGCCCCUUUUGGUGCAUAUCUGGUCAAAAUAAUCAGGUUAUCCUGCAAAGUUUCAACUCGAUGUCUGCUAUCUAAUUCUUAAAGUAAGCUUGUCUGGAGUGGACACAGAUAAGAUUUGUCUGCAAAUCCUAAGCAAUUAAUGGAUGAACUGUAAAGACUUGCUUUUGGUGAACAUCUCAACACCAGAGGAAACAGAUCAAAGCAGUCAUGCAUCCAUAGCAGUGACCAGAGGAGAAAUGACCACUGGGAGGAGCGCAGAGAGAAGAAACACCAUGGUGCACGUGCAGCAGCACAACUGGACGCCUUCAUCUGCCCCAGCUGCAACAAAACAUUUCUUUCCCACAUUGGUCUCUACAGCCACGGCAGGUGCUUCAACCUUCCAACAGCUUGACCUCAUCCACAAAGGCACACUCCUCCAGUCUCCCAAGACAGAUGCCAGCCAACCAAACCACAUCAUAUGGAUCCAAAAGAUGCAGUGCAAGUACCCUGGGGAAGUGUGAAGCCAGCAAAAAGGCUGUUGCUGCAUGAACUUGUGGCACCGAUCAUUCAAGGUCAACAAACACAGCCUCCAGUGCAGUACUGUUAAGGGAAUGAUGCUGUACUUGCUGCAAGAGGUGCUUCUUAUGUUGAGAAUCUUUAAUCUGGUGGCUAGAUAAUUCAUUCAUAUUACUGCAAAAAUUCCUGGGCGUUUGGAUAAUGUAUUGAACUAAUGUAACCCUACAGAAGGCUUAACAGUAAAGAAAAUUGCCGAUUUGAUCUCAGCUGUCAUAUUGUGCUCCAAGCAGUCCAAAAUCAACCAUAUCUGCCUCAGAUGUUACCACAUUAUACAAAUAUAAUGCACAACACAUAAUGCUUAUCCAGAAUAUACUGUCAUCAUUUUAAAUGAAAAUAUAUUUCAGUGGUAAAUUGGGAAGCUAUGUUUUCUCCUGGGAUGUUUUCCAGAUGGCUAAUUUAUGUCACCAACCGCAAAGCGUGUCCAUUCAGGAUCAGCAUAAUUUUAUACCCCUUCUUUUUCUGGUACGUAUCUUGGAAAAUACUUGCAAGUCUGUAUAGGCACUGGUGGUGUAUGUAUCUGCACCAUGCUUCCCGUUGCCUUUUAAAAAAAAAUUGUAUGAUUUUCAGGUUUAUACAUUUCACUAAUUUAACAAUAAUGUUAACAUUUCAAAACUUGACUUCCUUCCCCCUUUUCUGCGGUUCCUUAAAUUUAUUUUUAAUGUCUUCUGCAUAUCCUAAUUAACAUGUUUAUUUAUUCAUCUACUUUAAAUAUAUACUCUGCUGAAACUGCAGGUUAUUACUAUAAUCCUGGCAAUGUUCUUAUCUGUUUACAAUUUAUCUGUAAAUAUUCAAUACUCCAUUUCCAUUCUUUUAUAAAAAGUUUGUUAUAUUGAGUUCUUAUUUUUCUGGUAAAUUUUGCCAUUUCUACAUAUUCAAUAAGUUUUUGUAUCCAUUCUUCCUUUGCUUCUACUUUUUUCAAUUUUGGGGUAAUAUUCUUGCCACUGUAGUAACAUACAUGAAUAGUUUCUAUACGGUUUAAGUGGUUCUAUCCCUAUAAUUUCCUGUUGCCUCUCCUACAAUCAGAAAAAAAAAUCUGCAAGAACACACACACAAUUAGUAAUUUUAAUUUUGCACUUUUAUUUGUAGUAGCUUUGUGUCUUAUUUGCACAUGUACAUCUAUCCAAGGAUCUUAACAACCGUACAAUAUAUACUGGUAACCUGCAUCAGCUCUUAUGUGCAACAAACAUGAUUAUUCUUUCCUUCUGCUCCCUUUUCAAAAUGUGUAGUGGUUAUAUUGUCUUUCUAUCCCUAAACCCGCUUUCCCUCAAAUUAAUAUCUGUGAAGGAACAGGAACACAAGAUAAAA